GUAGGGUGCGAGCGUUAAUCGGAAUUACUGGGCGUAAAGUGUGCGCAGGCGGCGCCGCAAGUCGAGUGUGAAAGCCCCGGGCUUAACUUGGGAAUUGCGCUCGAAACUAUGGUGCUCGAGUGUGGCAGAGGAAGGUGGAAUUCCAGGUGUAGCGGUGAAAUGCGUAGAGAUCUGGAGGAACACCGAUGGCGAAGGCAGCCUUCUGGGCCAACACUGACGCUCAUGCACGAAAGCGUGGGGAGCAAACAGGAUUAGAUACCCUGGUAGUCCACGCCCUAAACGAUGAUGACUAGUUGUUGGAGGAGUUAAAUCCUUUAGUAACGCAGCUAACGCGUGAAGUCAUCCGCCUGGGGAGUACGGUCGCAAGAUUA
rnacentral:rRNA from 1 species